rnacentral:rRNA from 1 species
GUGUCAGCCGCCGCGGUAAUACGUAGGGUGCGAGCGUUAAUCGGAAUUACUGGGCGUAAAGCGUGCGCAGGUGGUUUUGUAAGUCAGAUGUGAAAUCCCCGGGCUUAACCUGGGAACUGCGUUUGAAACUGCAAGGCUAGAGUGUGGCAGAGGGGGGUGGAAUUCCGCGUGUAGCAGUGAAAUGCGUAGAGAUGUGGAGGAACACCGAUGGCGAAGGCAGCCCCCUGGGUCAGCACUGACGCUCAGGCACGAAAGCAUGGGGAGCAAACAGGAUUAGAUACCCUGGUAGUCCAUGCCCUAAACGAUGUCAACUAGUUGUCGGGUCUUAACGGGCUUGGUAACGUAGCUAACGCGUGAAGUUGACCGCCUGGGGAGUACGAUCGCAAGAUUAAAACUCAAAGGAAUUGACGGGGACCCGCACAAGCGGUGGAUUAUGUGGAUUAAUUCGAUGCAACGCGAAAAACCUUACCUACCCUUGACAUGUAUCGAAGCCCGCGGAGAUGUGGGUGUGCCCGAAAGGGAACGAUAACACAGGUGCUGCAUGGCUGUCGUCAGCUCGUGUCGUGAGAUGUUGGGUUAAGUCCCGCAACGAGCGCAACCCUUGUCAUUAAUUGCCAUCAUUUAGUUGGGCACUUUAAUGAGACUGCCGGUGACAAACCGGAGGAAGGUGGGGAUGACGUCAAGUCCUCAUGGCCCUUAUGGGUAGGGCUUCACACGUAAUACAAUGGCGCGUACAGAGGGUUGCCAACCCGCGAGGGGGAGCCAAUCUCAGAAAGCGCGUCGUAGUCCGGAUCGGAGUCUGCAACUCGACUCCGUGAAGUCGGAAUCGCUAGUAAUCGCGGAUCAGCAUGUCGCGGUGAAUACGUUCCCGGGUCUUGCACACACUGCCCGUC